CGCCUCGGGAGGGGCCUGCGGGCUAUCAGCUUGUUGGUGGGGUAAUGGCCUACCAAGGCUAAGACGGCUAGGGGGCGUGAGAGCGCGACCCCCCACAAUGGAACUGACACACGGUCCAUACUCCUACGGGAGGCAGCAGUGAGGAAUAUUGGUCAAUGGGCGCAAGCCUGAACCAGCAACGCCGCGUGGAUGAUGAAGGCCUUCGGGUUGUAAAAUCCUUUUCUGAGGGACGAUAAUGACGGUACCUCAGGAAUAAGUCCCGGCUAACUACGUGCCAGCAGCCGCGGUAAAACGUAGGGGGCGAGCGUUAUCCGGAUUUAUUGGGCGUAAAGCGCACGUAGGUGGCGCUGUAAGUUGGACGUGAAAGCUCCUGGCUCAACUGGGAGAGGUCGUUCAAAACUGCAGUGCUUGAGGUUGGAAGAGGAGAGUGGAAUUCCCGGUGUAGUGGUGGAAUGCGUAGAUAUCGGGAGGAACACCAGUGGCGAAAGCGACUCUCUGGUCCACACCUGACACUGAGGUGCGAAAGCGUGGGGAGCAAACGGGAUUAGAU
rnacentral:rRNA from 1 species